UAUUUUGUUCCUGUUAUUGUCGUGCUUCAUUCUGGGAGCCUGUGGAAGAUUUAUAAGGAGUUAUAGGCCUCGAUAUGAAAAACUCAGCGGCACAGAUGAAGAAGAUGUUCCAGUGGAGGUUGCGGAAGAGGGCUCAAUUGACGAGGCGGUGGCGGUUGGAUCGGCUGGAGAUGAUGUCGCAUCGGCAAAGAUCUGUAUAUUGACACCGUUAAAAAAAUACUGCGUUGGAGAGCAACAUGGACAAUAAUAUGUCAAGCGAUCUAAUUGAAUUUCAUCGGAAAAGCAUGGACUUUUUAAAUUAAAUUCUUCUCUAUA